CGUUAGAAAGCACGCCGCCCUCAUGUGAUGUCAGCGGCCGUCCUUAUUUGGCCUCGGCUGAAUCGGAGCCCCACUUGUACCCAGCUUCAACAGAGGAAACCUCACUGGACAAAAUGCUUUCACUGCCAAGUGUUGCUCUGUGCUCUCUGUGUUUAGCAGGGGUUGCCAUGGCAGAACAGCUGGAUCAGGACCAGUUAUCACUGACCAGCAGCACCAAUGAGAAAGUCUCCUUCAGAUGUACAGGAACUGACCUGUGUAACGUCUAUGUGUUCUGGUACCAGAAGAAAGAGACAGAAACAUUCAAAGUGAUUCUUCGCAUUAAUGUGAAUGACGGUACAGUUAAUAACCGUUUCAACCAUCCUCAAAAAGAUGAUUUCUCAGCUAAAGGGAGAGGCAGCAGCUGUGAGUUGGUGAUCGACAAAGUAAAAGCCUCCCAUGAAGCCACCUACUACUGUGCCUGUUAUGAUUCCCACAGUGAGAAGUGUUGGCUCGUCGCUGUACAAAAACUCUGCAGCGUUAACCAAGAAAUGAACAGAUGGCAAACCCUGUUUACCACAGGAAGAGAGCUUGAUUUGAGCCCAGCUUCACAUAUUUCAGCUCCCAUCUCAGCUGUCAUCUGGUUCUUCCAGGACACUGCUGAAGCCACACAAACGGCUCUGAGCUCUGAAGCUUUGCUUUACAUUGUGUCGUUUUGAGCAUGAUGUUAAAUG